GUGGGUUCGAUCCCUGGCCUCGCUCAGUGGAUUAAGGAUCCAGUGUUGCCUCGAGCUGUGGUGUAGGUUGCAGACGCGGCUCGGAGCUGGCAUGGCUGUUGCCUGUGUUUUCUUUCACAAAGUAGUCACGAUAUGGCUCUUCUCAUACUGUGUGGGGUUGGAGAGAGCCUGGGUGAACCUUGGCACAUUAUCCCCAAAAGGCCCCUAUGAAGUCUUGUAUUUGUGUCCCCUGUAGUGGCAUUCCUAGGUUUGGGUACCAUUUCAGUGGAAUCGGGGAAAUGAUCUAGAAGAACAGGAUUGGGGGGAGGUGGGCGACCGGAUCAUUUCAAGAGGUUGAGGUGUUUGUAUUGUCAUUUCCUGGAGAAGGAAGUGGGGAGGGGAGGGGAGGGGCGCCUUCCUCAGCAUCUCACCCUUCCCCUCACCCCUCUUCCCAGAGCAGCAUCAUGAAUUUGCAGGUCCCAAUACUGCUGACAUUUCUCACCACUGACACCUUCCUGGGACUUCUGAAGAUAUUGGGGUUAGGUCUUAAUUAAAUGGUGACUUCCUUUGAGGGCAAGGAGCAAGUGAUCUCUAGGGGCUGGGAGGUGUCUCCACCAGCCCACCAUGCAGACAGGGUCUGCCCCACAAGACCCCCAGGCUGCUCCCUCUGAGACAGGUGGGAUCUAGUGCUUUGUGUUUGGAAACACUAGUGGUUUAUAUCAGUCAGAGGCUUUGAGAACACUUGAUGUGGACCCAGUGUGCCCAGCAUGCAGUUUGUGAAACCAGGGUUUAUUUUGCAUGACUCUUGGGGAGCCCAAUAGAAGCAAACAGUCCUAGUGGUUGUCACUACGCACCUGCACUGCUACCUGAGCCACCUGAGCCUUUGGUCCACGAAGCACCCGGUGUGACCCUCCUUGCAAAUCCUUGGGCUGUGAUUUCAGGCUGGACCUUCGCCAGGCUGGCUGGCUUCUCAACUCUGUUUCCCUGGGGGAUGGGUUUGUGAUGAGUCAGAUUGAUGUGGAGCCUGGUGAGCUCUGUGUGUCUUGUCAGCAAAGCAGGAGGCCCACAGUCUCUGGCUUAUACGUUGAAUUAGCCUACUCACGUGGGGUGCUGCAAGCAGGUAAUGUUGUGGAUUACUCUUGGCAGGAAAGCCAGCCUGGCUAUGCUGAGAAUCUGGAUGCAGACAGCCCGUCCCCGGUCUGGCUGCUCAUGCGCCGUGCGAGCUUGGCCUCACUUUUCUUUCUCAUCUGUAAUAUGGGAGCAGGCUUCCUUCUUUCCUUAUUAGGAUCAUUAACAGGAAUGGUCCAGCCAAGUGCAGCUGCGUGCGCCUGGCACUGGGCCACUUAGGAAAUGGUUGCUUCCACUGUGAGCACUGUCAGAGUCCCUCCUGCGGGACAGGUACUUUUCUGCCUCCCCUUUCUUAUUCAGGCCUUGGGAGAGUCCCUUUAGGUGGGUGUCGUUUCUGGAACCGAACUGGAGUUUUCUGCCAUCAUUUCCAGGGGCCUCAGGCUGUGAGAACCUCACUCCCAUAAGACCCAUAUAUCUCACGUUGGCCCAGCCCUUCAACACCUUCGAAUCCAGCCAACAAUGCGGCGAGGCUAGUGACUGUCUUCAUUUUUGUACGUGGGGGACUGGACUGGGAAGGUCUUGUCGCUGUGUUGGGUCAGCUGGUUGCCAUGGACAUGGACCAUGAGUCUCCUGCCCCGUGGAGGGCUCCCCUUCUGAGACCACAGCAGCUCCCUCAUAAGAUGUCUGAGUUCUGGGCCCAGGACCUUGAGGUCCCAUGUCCCAACCGGCACCCCAUGCUCUAGAAGGCCCCCCUGUGACUGUGGCCUCUUGAUGGGGAAAACAAUCAGCUGGUGGAGGGGAGAUGCCAUCUGGGGCCCACGCCCCCCCCCCCUUUUCCAGAGCUUGCCCUAGAAUUUUCUGCCUGAAGAUCCCUGAGCUGGCUUUCAAGCCAUCCUGCCUGGGGCCGUUUGUGCGCCUACACCUCAGUCAGAGAGUGGCCAGCUGUGACCAGGAUGGAGAUGUGCGGGCGGGGGUGUGCACAGGCGAGGGGGAGGCCACAAGGAAUGACAGGAGAAGGGGAACGGGCUGUAGGCUGAGAUGCUGCCCUGGGCCCAGCACACACUGAGGGCAGCUGGGUUCCGUGGGGACUGGGCUCUGGCCGCGCACCAGGGAAAAGGAGGCACACGGUCUGCGUGUCAGCUCUGACGGCAUCUGCAUCAUUGUACAACGUUAGAACCGGGGGCGGGAGGCUGAAGCAGACCCAUACCCUCAGUGAAGAGCCUGUCCGGUGGCCUGUGAGGUUAGCCCAGACUGUUCCCCAAGUUGAUUUUUCCAUGUUUCUUUUUUUUUCUUAUCCAAGAGACGGUAGGGACGCGCUUCGAGAUUGCUGCUGUUCUGAGAGCACGUCAGUUUUCUCCGUGGUGAUUCUGUCCUUCACGUGAUAAGAUUGUGAGACCAUGGUUGAUUCCACCAGGCUUGGCAUCCACCCCCAUUUCCCGACCCUCUCGAGCUCCUUCCCAAUUCCCUGGAGAUUGGAUGGGCACCAGUGCCCUCUUCUCUCUCUCAAGUGUACUUGGCGUCGCUCUCCAUGGAAAAUAAGGGCUGAAAGUGUUCUGGAAGACCAAGUGAAGAAUGGCAGAGUAGUAGAAGUACCACAUAAGGUAAUGAAAUGGAAUAAUCUGCUUUUCACUUGCCAGCUCCCCCAGGGGCACGGCACACCGCCUCAUCAAUCAGUCCCCCUUGUCCACUGCUCACCCCUUGCCGGUGGAGAGGUGGCCCAGGUGUGGCUGGCAGGCCAGCCUGGAGUCUUCCAGCUGGGCCACCUCCUGGCUGAGCCCUUUUGGCCGAGACACUGAAAUUCCUAGCUGUCCACAAGGUGAGGUGUGUGUGUGUAUAUAUGUGUGUGUGUGUGUGUGUGUGUGUGUGUGUGUGUGACCGUGGUGGGUGCUCUAUGGCACUUCCAGCUGGAGUUCAGGGAGCCACAAGGCAUGAUGUGGGGCCUGUGGGGUUGUAGAGGUGAAAGGGCCAGGCACGCUUCUGUCUUCUAAGGCUGUGCGAGUACGAGGGACAGAGGUUUGCAGGCGGAACCCCAUCUCGGGCGGCCUCUGUCUGACUACAGUGUCUGCGACUGCAGAGCAUCCGCUGCUGUGGUUGUGCUUUUGAUAGGUUCCAGGUGCCGUCUUACAAGCUCAGGCUCUGAAGCUCGAUUGGAGUCCUGGUUUCUACUAUUUGCCUCCAUGGGACCUUGGAUCCGGCCCUUAACCUCUACGCGGCGCUCCCCCCCCCCCCCCCCCUUACCUGUAAUAGCACCCACCUCCAUCUGGGCAUUGUGAAGUGAAUGCGCUAGUAUCUUUUUUAAAAAAUUUUUUAUUAGAGUUGAUUUACCUUGUUCUGUCAACUUCUGCUGUGCAGCCAAGUGACCCAGUCAUACAUCUGUACAGACUCUCUUUCUCAUAUUGCCUUCUAUCAUGUUUCAUCACAAGUGAUUGGACAUAGUGCCCCGUGCUAUACAGCAGGACCUCAUUGCCUAUCCAUUCUAAAUGUAACACUUUACAUCUAUUAACCCCGAACUCCCAGUCCACCUCUCCCUCCCUACCUCAGCAACUUGCCAGAAAAUCAAUAAGGCAACAGAGAUCCUAAAUGCCUUAGUAUCUUUAAGUGCUUGUGCCACCACCACCCAGCACUGACAUGUGAAUGCGGAUGGCAGUUCUUUAGCUUCUGUUACCUCUUCUGCUUUUCCAGCGAGGAGACCGAGGCUUUGGUCAAGCGCUUCUCCAGGUCUGAAGCCCUGGGUGCUGUUGCCACCCAGUGCUGGGGCUGGGAUAAAGCUCAGGAGCCCAGAGUGCAGUUCUGUGGGAUUCUAGGGUGUGGAGAGUGCUGAGGUGGGGGGAGAACAGGGGUCUCCUGCCGUGGUUCUUGCCUUGGGGCAAGGCGUUUGUGGUAACCGGUGCUGGGGAGAGUGGGGCCCUGGGCAGAGGGAGGAGAGGGGAGGGGUGGGAAAGGAGGCUGCAGAGGCCCCCCCUCUUACCUGGAUAUUCCAGUUCUUCCUCCAGGAAGACCCAUUUCUUACAGAGUGAGUUGGGUCUUGGGGAAGCAAAGCUGGGCUGGAGAGAAUAUGGAACUGAGUUGACAUCUUCCUCCUCUGAUGCCCCCCUCUUUUUGUUCGUAUUCUGGACACUUCAGGGGCCAACUUUGGGGAUCCCACGUCCCAAGCGUUACUGCCUUCCUCUCCAAGUGGAGGAUUAGAUGUUCCUCAACUGGGGGCACCCAGACUCCAAAUGGCCCUCUCUUCUACGAGCAGUUGGGGACUUUUCGGCUCACCUGUCCAGUAUCGGCUCAAGCAGCUGUGACCUCUAGAGAGAUGAUCUGGUCCUGUGUCUUCUGGAGCCACUGAAAGGCAGGACUAGAGUGAGGAGAAAACAUUUCAGACUGGUUGAAGUAGAAUUUUGAUUAAAAGUGGGUUUAUUAUCAAAACAAUGUUUUCAUGGGUGACAUUUUGAAAGACAGACAAUUGUAAAGAAGAUAAAACAAGUCAGCCAGAUAAUAACCCUUCACAGCAUUUUGGUGUGUUUUCCCUUUAACUCAAACUCACUCCCUACCUUCCUCUCUUCCUUCCUUUCUCCCUCCCUCCCUUCUUUCCAUCAUUUAUCUGCCUAUCACUUGCACACCUGUAUGGAAUGCCCACUUAAGCUGGGCUCUGUAUCACCUAGACAGCUCAAGAAGUUGAGUCUAGGGGAAGACUAGACACAUGACCUAGAGGGAUUACAGAGAACAGAGGGCUGUGAAGACAGGGAUGCAGGGGCCUCAGAAACCCUGAUGAAGGAGGGGCCACCUCUGCCUGCACAACAGGUGACCCCCGGACUUCGGCAUGGGUGCCUUUCCACGUUCUUCUCUACACAUUUGGGUCAUAUAACCUGAUUUUUUCCACUUACUGUUAGAGCAUUCCCUUGUGUCCAUGAAUAUUUAAAACAGGUUUUAAAAAGAGCCUUAGCAUUGUGCUUUUUAGGCUUGCACCACUGAGUGGCCUUGUCUCUGACAUAUGCUGGCCAAAGCGGAGGACAGGAGGGGCCCCAUGACCAAGUGCAAGGCAUGGAAUGGCCCCCAAGAAGAGCUCAGAAUGGCUAGUUUUCUUUCCUCCUUCUCUUUGCUCUCCUUUGCCCCUUUUGCUAUUUCAGCCUGAAACCUGGGGAAGGGAGUUCCUGUUGUGGCACGGCGGAAACGAAUCUGAGUAGGAACCAUGAGGUUUGGGGUUCAAUCCCUGGCCUCGCUCAGUGGGUUAAGGAUCUGGCGUUGCUGUGGGCUGUAGUGCAGGUCGCAGAUGUGGCUUGGAUCCCGCAUUGCUGUGGCUGUGGUUUAGACUGGCAGCUUUAGCUCCAAUUUGAUCCCUAGCCUGGGAACUUCCAAAUGCCUCAGGUGUGGCCCUAAAAAAGCGGAAAAAAAAAAAAA
rnacentral:lncRNA from 1 species